rnacentral:misc_RNA from 1 species
GGUACCUGAAGAAAAAGCAUCGGCUAACUCCGUGCCAGCAGCCGCGGUAAUACGGAGGAUGCAAGCGUUAUCCGGAAUCAUUGGGCGUAAAGGGUCCGCAGGUGGCGAAUAAAGUCUGCUGUUAAAGACCGGGGCUAAACUCCGGAAAGGCAGUGGAAACUGAUUAGCUAGAGUACGGUAGGGGUAGAGGGAAUUCCCAGUGUAGCGGUGAAAUGCGUAGAUAUUGGGAAGAACACCGGUGGCGAAAGCGCUCUACUAGGCCGAAACUGACACUGAAGGAUGAAAGCUAGGGUAGCGAAAGGGAUUAGAUACCCCUGUAGUCUUAGCGGUAAACGAUGGAUACUAGGUGUAGCUUGUAUCGACCCGAGCUGUGCCGAAGCUAACGCGAUAAGUAUCCCGCCUGGGGAGUACGCACGCAAGUGUGAAACUCAAAGGAAUUGACGGGGGCCCGCACAAGCGGUGGAGUAUGUGGUUUAAUUCGAUGCAACGCGAAGAACCUCACCAGGGCUUGACAUGUCGCGAAUCUAGCGGAAACGUUAGAGUGCCUUAGGGAAUGCGAACACAGGUGGUGCAUGGCUGUCGUCAGCUCGUGUCGUGAGAUGUUGGGUUAAGUCCCGCAACGAGCGCAACCCUCGUCCUUAGUUGCCAAUAUUAAGUUAGGCACUCUAGGGAGACUGCCGGGGACAACUCGGAGGAAGGUGGGGAUGACGUCAAGUCAGCAUGCCCCUUACGUCCUGGGCGACACACGUACUACAAUGGUUGGGACAAAGGGCAGCAAACUCGCGAGAGUAAGCGAAUCUCAUCAAACCCAGCCACAGUUCAGAUUGCAGGCCGCAACUCGCCUGCAUGAAGUAGGAAUCGCUAGUAAUCGCAGGUCAGCAUACUGCGGUGGAUUCGUUCCCGGGCCUUGUACACACCGCCCGUCACACCAUGGAAGCUGGCUACGCCCGAAGUCGUUACCCUAACCCGGUUUUGGGAGGGGGAUGCCGAAGGUAGAGCUAGUGACUGGGGUGAAGCCGUAACAAGGUAGCCGUACCGGAAGGUGUGGCUGGAUCACCUCCUUUACAGGGAGACCUAGUCUAAUUACCAAUAGAUAAAAAAGUUGGUAAUUCGCAAGAAUCCUUAGGUCGUGAGGGGAGCAAGAAAAAACUUUCAAACUGUAAUGGGUGAGGGUCAAUGGGCUAUUAGCUCAGGUGGUUAGAGCGCACCCCUGAUAAGGGUGAGGUCCCUGGUUCAAGUCCAGGAUGGCCCACCUAAAAUACACAGGCAUCCUGCCUGUGCCACAAAAAAAGGAAAAAGUUUUGGUAUUGUCUCUUGUAAUCAAGAGCAAGAGAUAACGCUGGAAUAGAUUCCAGCAAGAA